UUAAAUUUAAUAAAUUUUAAUCACUAUGACACUAAAAUAACAAAACAGGUUUUUCUUAAAUAUUUUAUUCAAUGGCAUCUAAAAUGGUUUUUUUUUUUCCUUAAAGCAGUUUUGGCCCUUAAAGCACAAUGCCAAACAGGCAUUUAAUGGCAUUAAAGCACAUUUACAACACUUAUUAACUAUUCUUUUCUUAGGUAGUAGAAUGUGGAACAUUUCCUACGUCAAAAGUUAUAAUGGGGGGGAGAAAGAAUAGAAGUCUCAUAUGUCUAUGAUUCUGUAUUAUGCAAUGGCCUAGCAGAUAUCAGAUGGUGAAUACAGUAUGAGGAAUGGACAUAUGCAAAGGUACAUUAGAUAGUGAAUACACUAAGAGGAAUGAACAUAUGAUGUCAUCUGUAAACACAAACCUGAAGAAACAAUACCAUCUGCAGUAACUUGGAUAACUUUUAGGUCCAAUGCAUCAAGCUGAGCUCAGAAUUGAGUGAUAUCAGCCUGUUUUCCCUGUUUUUUCACCUCAAGUAGAUAAAUUAAUUUAACUUAAUCAUUCAUUCAGUCCAGGGUCAAAUCAGCAGCUCAACAGCUCAUGCAGAUGCCUCAAUCCUUUCUCAUUGGGCAAACCUAGGGAGGAGCAUUCAGUCUGUUCAGUUCCAAACCGAACCUAACAAGCAAAACUGAAAAACCGAUUGACCUUGAAAUCCAGACUGAAUCAAUAGUAAAGAAAUAACGGAACUGAACCAAACAGAAAAAUAUCAAAAUUAUCAGCAUACAUAAAAAUCAACAUCAGCAUACAUAAAAAUCAAUUCACAUGGGCUGAGAUUAGUCUAUGGGCUGGGCCUACACAAAAUAUACAUAAGCCAUAUAAAAAGAAGGCCUUUUAUAUACAUAUAUUGGUCGAUUCUCUUUUUUUUUUUUGGUUGAAAAAACCAAACUGAAAACCAAAAUUAUCUAAAAUCCCAAACCUAACCAAACUGCCUAGACUGAAAAACUAAACUGAUUGAUCUGAAUUGAUUUGGUUCUGUUGGGUGUUUCAAUUUAAACAGAAAAUUGCACGCCCCUGGGUAAACCAGCACCCCCUGAUGUCUAAAGCAUCCCUGUUGUUGUGAUGAUGUCAUCUAAGAAAUAUGUUAUACAACAUGUCAACAUCUUAAAUUUGUGCAAAUACAUGUAAAUGACAAUAAUAUCAAAUGCAUAUCACUCAUACAGAUCAGAAUUCUUAUCUUUCCUAAAAUAGUAGCCAUUAUGUACUUCUUGCUCAACUCAGCUCCUAAGACAAAAUCAGCUUCCCUUGGUUACAUAGAAUUUCUUUUAUCAUUCGAUCAAGACUUCCCAGCUCAUUAUCACCAAAGACAUCACUAUAAUGGGCAGCAUACAACUACUGUUAGCAGCAUCCUCAAUCCUCCUUUCCUCAAUGGUAAUGACCAUGUUAAAUGCCAGGUGUGCAACUAAUAUGACCACACCAUCUUAAGUGCAAGCUAUAUUUGGUGGAUUAUCUUUCCAAUCAGGUGGUCUAAUUAAUCUGGGGGUUUCUUCAUGGGUAUGCUGGACUUUUGUUGUUUGGGUUUUGCCAUUUUAUAGCUUUUGAAUAGCUAGAGGCACUGGAGAUUUCUGUGGGUUCUCUGGCUCGGACAAGAGAGCGAGGGAGGCAGGGAAGGGCAUUAUAGCAUAUGGAAAGCAAAAUAG
rnacentral:misc_RNA from 1 species